UGCAAGUCGAGCGGGCCCUUCGGGGUCAGCGGCGGACGGGUGAGUAACGCGUGGGAACGUGCCUUCUGGUUCGGAAUAACCCUGGGAAACUAGGGCUAAUACCGGAUACGCCCUUUUGGGGAAAGGUUUACUGCCGGAAGAUCGGCCCGCGUCUGAUUAGCUAGUUGGUGGGGUAACGGCCUACCAAGGCGACGAUCAGUAGCUGGUCUGAGAGGAUGAUCAGCCACACUGGGACUGAGACACGGCCCAGACUCCUACGGGAGGCAGCAGAC
rnacentral:rRNA from 1 species